rnacentral:rRNA from 1 species
GACGAACGCUGGCGGCGUGCUUAACACAUGCAAGUCGAACGGAAAGGCCCUGCUUUUGUGGGGUGCUCGAGUGGCGAACGGGUGAGUAACACGUGAGUAACCUGCCCUUGACUUUGGGAUAACUUCAGGAAACUGGGGCUAAUACCGGAUAGGAGCUCCUGCUGCAUGGGGGGGGUUGGAAAGUUUCGGCGGUUGGGGAUGGACUCGCGGCUUAUCAGCUUGUUGGUGGGGUAGUGGCUUACCAAGGCUUUGACGGGUAGCCGGCCUGAGAGGGUGACCGGCCACAUUGGGACGGAGAUACGGCCCAGACUCCUACGGGAGGCAGCAGUGGGGAAUAUUGCACCAUGGGCGGAAGCCUGAUGCAGCAACGCUGCGUGCGGGAUGACGGCCUUCGGGUUGUAAACCGCUUUCGCCUGUGACGAAGCGUGAGUGACGGUAAUGGGUAAAGAAGCACCGGCUAACUACGUG